rnacentral:rRNA from 1 species
CUGAGAGGUGGUGCAUGGCCGUCGUCAGUUCGUACUGUGAAGCAUCCUGUUAAGUCAGGCAACGAGCGAGACCCACGUCCACAGUUGCCAGCAUACCCUCCGGGGUGAUGGGUACACUGUGGAGACCGCCGCUGCUAAAGCGGAGGAAGGAGUGGGCAACGGUAGGUCAGUAUGCCCCGAAUCUCCCGGGCUACACGCGGGCUACAAUGGUUGGUACAAUGGGCAUCUACCCCGAAAGGGGGAAGGAAAUCUCUUAAAGCCAAUCGUAGUUCGGAUUGAGGGCUGCAACUCGCCCUCAUGAAGCUGGAAUCCGUAGUAAUCGCGUUUCAACAGAACGCGGUGAAUACGUCCCUGCUCCUU